UUUGUUAUUACGCAUUGUGAU
rnacentral:piRNA from 1 species